CCCCCCCCCCCCCACCAAGCUGCCCACCAGAGGCUAAGCUGUACUUGGUGUUUGCCAACAUGCUGUAAUUUCCAGCCUGGUUGCUGUAGCCACAGAGGAAUUUUCAAGGACAAGAACCAGUGCUGGUAAAACUGUGGUCUCUGUGGUUUUCCAUACCGGCUCUCGGCAAGGAUUUUCAAGAAAGGAAUACCAUCUCCAAAUCAUGAUGUGCCAAUAAGCUCCAGUUAGCUGCGGCCUUUUCCCCAGGCGGUAGUCCUGCAAUCUGAACCAGGAGAUGCAGCUCUGAAUCCAAUAUUUCAGAAGAAUGAAGAUGAAGCAGACCCAGGAGGAACUGUCUGUUGAAG